CCUACGGGUGGCAGCAGUGCGGAAUAUUGGUCAAUGGACGAGAGUCUGAACCAGCCCAGUAGCGUGAAGGAUGACUGCCCUAUGGGUUGUAAACUUCUUUUAUAUGGGAAUACAAUGUUCCACGUGUGGGAUUUUGUCUGUACCUUAUGAAUAAGGAUCGGCUAACUCCGUGCCAGCAGCCGCGGUAAGUAGGAGGAUUCGAGCGUUAUCCGGAUUUAUUGGGUUUAAAGGGAGCGUAGGGGGAUUGUUAAGUCAGGUGUGAAAGUUUGCGGCUCAACCGUAAAAUUGCAGUUGAAACGGGCAGUCUUGAGUACAGUAGAGGUGGGCGGAAGUCGGGGUGUAGCGGUGAAAUGCUUAGAAAUCACGAAGAACUCCGAGUGCGAAGGCAGUUCACUGGACUGCAACUGACACUGAGGCUCGAAAGUGUGGGUAUCAAACAGGAGUAGAUACCCCAGUAGUC
rnacentral:rRNA from 1 species